rnacentral:rRNA from 1 species
UACGUACUGUGCGAACGUUAUUCGGAAUUACUGGGCUUAAAGGGUGUGUAGGCGGCCAGCUAAGUAGGGUGUGAAAGGCCUCGGCCUAACCGGGGCAUUGCGCUCUAAACUGACUGGCUUGAGUGAGAUAGGGGUGUGCGGAACUUCCAGUGGAGCGGUGAAAUGUGUUGAUAUUGGAAGGAACGCCGGUGGCGAAAGCGGCACACUGGGUCUCGUCUGACGCUGAGACACGAAAGCCAGGGGAGCGAACGGG